rnacentral:rRNA from 1 species
UACGAGCUGUGCGAACGUUAUUCGGAAUCACUGGGCUUAAAGGGUGCGUAGGCGGCUGCCUAAGUCAGGUGUGAAAUCUCCCGGCUCAACCGGGAAACUGCGCUUGAUACUGGGCGGCUCGAGUGAGGUAGGGGUGUGUGGAACUUCCGGUGGAGCGGUGAAAUGUGUAGAUAUCGGAAGGAACGCCAGCAGCGAAAGCGGCACACUGGGCCUUUUCUGACGCUGAGGCACGAAAGCCAGGGGAGCGAACGGG